rnacentral:rRNA from 1 species
CCUACGGGAGGCAGCAGUAGGGAAUUUUCGGCAAUGGGGGGAACCCUGACCGAGCAACGCCGCGUGAAGGAAGAAGGCAUUCGUUCUGUAAACUUCUGUUAUAAAGGAAGAAAGACGGAUGGAGUAAAUGACAUCCGAUUGACGUUACUUUCUGAGAAAGCCCCGGCUCACUACGUGCCAGCAGCCGCGGUAAUACGUAGGUGGCAAGCGUUAUCCGGAAUUAUUGGGCGUAAAGAGGGAGCAGGCGGCAGCAAAGGUCUGUGGUGAAAGACUGAAGCUUAACUUCAGAAAGCAAUAGAAACAGGGAAGCUAGAGUGCAGGAGAGGAUCGUGGAAGUCCAGGGGUAGCGGUGAAAUGCGUAGAUAUAUGGAGGAACACCAGUGGCGAAGGCGACGAUCUGGACUGCAACUGACGCUCAGUCGCGAAAGCGUGGGGAGCAAAUAGGAUUAGAUACCCGGGUAGUC